rnacentral:lncRNA from 1 species
UCGCAGGAGGAGCCAGAGGAGUCUUGUGAUGACUCUGAAAGCACAGACAGCCUGCACCCAUCCAUCGUGCCCUUGACAGAGGUCACGCAGAGCACAGAGGAUGAUGGCAAGCUCAAUUACAUCACUGUUCAUUACGCCAGGAUGCCCAGUUUGGACCAGGUGCAGAUCACUCAUCUACCACUAGAUGGCAAUAAAGGGAGUAGGGAUCGAUCUAAUGUAAUUUACUCCGUCCUAUCCAAUGAGCAGCCAUGAAGGUUAGACUUUGAAGGCAACCCCCAGUGAGUGUUGGCAGGAGUGAAGUUGGCAUCUCUCUGUCCUGUUCGCCCAGUGGAACAGUACCCUAAGCUGACUUCACUAGUCAUGUGAUGAGAGUGCUGCUGUGUGUGUGUCUAUUUGUCAAUGGCUAUUUUGCUACAGUCAACAAUAGUGAAUCUUCAUGUGAUUGUUCAGUCAUCUCUGAGAAAAAUAAGUACCUUAACAACUGAAAUUAUGCAAUUGAAUUUUUUUUUUUUGCACAAGAUGUAAGACAACAUAAGUGAUGCUUUGUUAAAAGUAAAUCUUAUAAUGUGAUACCAAGUCUUAGGUCCUAAGGUCUAAGUUACCAUGUUCUAAAAUGGAUAGUACACCCAAAGUGAAAAUCUUGGCAUAAUCAUGACCCUCUGGACAUUCCUUUAAAGGCCCAGUAUGUGGGAUUUAUGGUGAUUUAUGGUGAAGUAUUCAUAAUAAUGUUUUCAUUAGUGUACAAUCAACUACAGGU